UCUUCAAAUAAUUUCUAAGGCAUAAGAGCACUAAACUGAAGGAUGUGACGUGCGCUCAUCGCAUGCAUCCACUAGAAAUUGCAGUCAAGAUAUUGGUUAAGUCUUUAUCGUUCCAUCGUUUAUUCCUUGUAUCUUGAUAUAUUUUUCAUGGAUUUUCAAACUUUAUAUCAUCAAUAUAUCACCAUAUUCAUCUCUCAAAGUUUCCUACAACAUCACAAACCA
rnacentral:lncRNA from 1 species